CAAUUUAGGGAUAGAGAUAUUGUUCAGUGGUGAUGAUAAGAUAUACUAGUAUAUUAUAACUCUUUUUAACUAGCCAAUAACUUACAUUUAGGGAUUAUGUACACAUCUAGAUUGGAUUAGUUUAUUUUUCAGGCUCUGUUCUAAGUGAAUAAUUUAAAUAAUAGAGGACCAUUCAGCAUAAUUACUAUCCAUAACAGUUCUUCAAUAUCUUAAUUCAUGUGCCAUUCUUGUCUAUGAAUUUUAGUUUUGCAUAUGUUUUUUUUUUUGCCCAAAGAGCUGAAAAGCUCAGGCUUUAGAGUUAGACACACCUAGCUUUUGGGAACAGCUGUGCAACUUUGGCAGCAUGGUAACCUUGGGCAAGUUCGAUCUUCUCUGCCUCUCAGUGUCCUCAUCUGUCUUAAAACUAUACCUCUUCCUCCCCUCACAGGAUAAUUGUAUAAAUUAUUUUGUACUGUAUUUGGUACACAAUUGACACCUAGUAAAUGGUAAGAGUCAUAAUUAGGCUUUUAUAUUUUAAACUGUCAAAUCUUUGACACAUUGUGGGCCAGUGGUUCUUUCAACACAGUAAUAAAAUGAAGAGGGAUGCAGCAGCACACUUUGAUUUAAAGUGAUGGGAAGAUAAUGUGUAAUUAAAAUAGACAAUAAUGGAGAGAGAAACUUGGUAGUUCUCUGAUUAGGCUGGGCCUGAUGUAAAUAAGUGCCACACUUAUUUUACCAGCUUGGUACAGAUUCUAAAGCUCGAUGAAGUGGGAAUAAUUAUGAAAUACAGGGGUUAGUUUGACUGAGCAAUCCCACUCUAGGGCAUAUGACCGGAUAAAACUUUCCUUAAAAAAGACACAUGCAUGCUCAUGUUCAUUGCAGCACUAUUCACAAUAGCCAAGACAAUUUUUUUCCUACUAUACAGCAUUGUGACCCAGUUACACAUAUAUAUAUGCAUUCUUCUUUCUCCCAUUAUCAUGUCUGGUCACUUAUGAUGGAGCAUGAUAAUUAUUAGGAGUUUCGAAUUUUUCUUUUCUUUGCUGGAGAAAUCAAGAGACUUUUAACACCUUGCUAAAUACUCUGUAAACUCAGCUUCCAAUGGGGUUUUAGGAGAGUAGAAAUGAUUUUUCUUUUUAUUAGUUCUUUGAAUAUGUUUCCAGUAAAAAAUAUUAUUAAUAAAAUAAAUAUCGUACAUGCAUAUAGGUAUAUGUGUACUUCUAACAGCCUCCUACCAGAAUUCCAAAGAGUAUAUCUUGGCAACUAUGGUAGAUAGCAUGUGAUUAUACUUUUACUAAAGCAAAAAAUUUGACUAAAUCUCAUUUGAGAGAGUACAUUACAGUAAAAUUUCUCUUAAAACUACUUGUUUGACAGAAUAAAUAUUUUUUUAAAAUUUCUGUUGAUAGUGAAAUAAAUUAAAUAGGAAGGAAUUUGAAAAUAAAGGUAAACAUUCUAGAAAACAACCAUGUUUUUUCUUUAGUGAAUAUAAUUUUCAUUGAAGGUAGAUAUUCCUAUUACCUGAAUGAUAGUCACAUCUCCAUAUAUCAGAACUUUAAUGUUUACUUCUCCAUCAUAUCUUUUGAGUCCCUUCUCUUUUAUGAAACUGAAAUAAAAAUAACCUGUAGGACUCUUUCCUUCUUAAAUCAAUAUAUUUGUAAAUAGCCAUUUUCUUAUUAAUAGCACAUUCACUUUUAAAGUAAAAUUUUAUUAAUUUCUGACUAUAUAAAGAAAUAAAUAUCAUUAAGAAAAAUAUACUGAAGGAAAGGAAAAUCACUAAUUACCUCAUUGUGUAAAAUAUUAACAAUGCUCAUUGAUACCCUAUAAUUACUGUACUCAAAAUUAUGUGUUAAUGAAUCAAUAUGUUUUGCAUGUUUUCUUUCAGGAGUUUCUCAAUAGGAGAUAAUAAUAACAGUAAUAAUAAUAAUGUUAAAUUGGAAUCAAGGCAAAUAGAUGUCUUUGAAUUCUUCUUUUGGGUCUUAUUUUUUUUUGCUUAAUUUAGUUUCAAGUAUGUUUCUAACAACUAAAAAUUUAUCAAAAAUAUAAUUUAAUUACCAAAAAUUAUUCCCAGCAAUGAUUUUUGACAAAACUUAUUUACUCAUACUCUUAUUUUCAGGCAUUCAAUUCUAAUAUUUCCUUUUUUUAGAAUAUAUAAUGUCACAGUGAAAACCUUUAAAUAUAAGUGAUUAUCUGCACCUUAGGUCUGUUUAGUUUCCAACUCCUAGUGUUUGAAAAAACCACAUUUAAUAAUUUUCUAUGAAUCUAAGUAAAGUACAAGAAAUUGAGUAUAUCCUUUAACAAUCAACCUAGUCAAAAUUAUAAGUAAUGAUUUCCUCUUAUAAGCAGUCAUAGAUUUCAAUCAUGUCCUAGUUACAAAACAAAGGAAUGGUAGUUAAGGCUUAUGUAAUACAUUCUAAAAAUCAUUUUAAUUCUCAUAAUAUAAAGGGUAUAUUUAAAAAUAGUCAUGAAGGACAGAUUAAUAGAUAUUUUAUUUUAUUCCCCAGUCAGUAUGGUUACAUUUUAACACCUGCUGUUCACAAAGUUCAAUAGAUAGUUAAUAUAUAGCAAGAAUUCCAAAUGAGUUUUGAGAAAUCUGUUUUGAGGGGAUUAGAGAAAAGUUCACAUCUGACUUACUAAUGAGUUGAUUUUAGUUAAUGUGAAAUUCUGGUUGAAUGUAAAUUAAUUUAUCACCUACUCUAUGAGUUGCAAACAAAUUCUUCUCCUUUUUGUUCUGUAAUUUGUCUAUGUAAUAUUGAAACUAUUCAAUGAUUUAGCAGAAAAUAGGCAUAUUUAAUCACUUUAAUUUCUCCAGCCAAAAUUAUUGCAGUCAAUUAACUCAAUCAACAAUUUUAUCCUCCAAUAUGCCAUGCACUUUGGGCCACUUGACUGCUCCUGGAAUUUUAUGGACAAUCUACUAAGACAAAUAAAGGAUUUAAAAGUGCACAUCACAAUUCUAAUGUGAAAUUUUGCAUAUUAUAAAUUUUCUAAUCAAAAUAUUCAGUUAUCAGGAACAUAAAGUAGAAGGUAAAAGCAAUUUAAAGUCAGACCCAAAGUCAUCCUCUUAUCUUUUUACAUUACAUAUAAUGUAAAAGCAAGGUAGUUUUAUUUAAUAUGAAACAUUUUUAUAAAACAAAGUAAUUAUUUCAUUCUAUUACAUUACUUUUCAAGGAAUUCAAUCUAAUGCAAUUCUAUUAAGUGUAUUGCUUACACAUAAUGUAUUUUAAGAUUACAAGGUAGACUAAUACAUUGUAAUUAUAAGUCAGAGUACCUUAGAGUUAAUGUAUUUCUGUGGCUUUUGGAGAUAUACUUCUAUAUUCAUUAGUUAUAAAAGUAAAAAAGAUGGCAGAGUGCAUGAACUUGUGCCUAAGUUUGAAGGAGUUAUAAGAUAUUACUAGGUAUGUUUCUCAGAUCCAGAAAAGGUCCCAUUUUUGUUCUAGUCAUAAUUAGGAAACUUGGUUGUUAAUCAAGUUUGUAAAAACCCAGAGAUGAAAUAUGCCUCAUUAUUCAGCCUCUCAUUCCCCUUCAGAGCAUUCAGUCCUUACCCUCUUCUGUCUGUAAAAUUAAUAGCCUUUUGUAGGGACUCUUCUUUUGUAGGGACUCUUAUAAAUCUAAAAUUCUAUUGAUUUUCUUUACAAAAACAUAGUGAAUAUAAAAACCUAGAUGAAGAGGCAGCUGGGGGCAGUGAGUACAACCUCCAGGUUAUGGUCAGAAUCUUGCUCUGCUAUUGAAAAAUUAUUUGACCUUCAGUUUCAGUGUGAUUACUUUUAAAUGACAGUCUCAAGAUCUCUGAGUUUUACUUUUUGCCUAAGAACCACAAAAAUGAUAUAGGGACUUUGAUUCUCUUAGGCAAAAAAAAAAAAAAAAAAAAAGGGAGAUAUGUGAAUUCUGUGAAUUGGUAUUGCGUAACAUGGUUUCCAUCACUUGCUAUUAAUUUACUUUUUUUUUUUUUGGUCUUCUGUCUUUUUUAGGGCUGCACCCAUGACAUAUGGAGAUUGCCAGGCUAGGGGCUGAAUUGGAGCUGCAGCUGCUGGCCUAAACCACAGCCACAGCAACACUGGAUCCAAGUUGCUCUUGUGACCUACACCAGAGCUCACGGCAAUGCUGGAUCCUUAACCCACUGAGCGGGGCCAGGGGUCAAACACUCAUCCUCAUGGAUAGUAGCUGGGUUUGUUAACCACUGAGCCACAAUGGGAAUUCCUAAUUUGCUUUCUGAUAGCCCAUGUUUUUAAACAUUAGACAUUGUUUUCUUUUGUAUUGGGAUUUUGGGAUUAACAUUGCACACUACUAUAUAUGGAAUGAAUGGUCAAUAGGGACCUUCUCUUAAAUACAGGGCUACUCAAUAUUCUGUGAUAAUCUAUAUGGUAUAAGAAUCUGGAAAAAUGGAUAUGUGUUCAUGUAUAAUGGAAUCACUUUGUCGUACAGCAGAAAUUAACACACCAGUGUAAAUCAACAAUACUUCAAUAAAAUUUUUAAAAAUUAAAAAUAUAUUGUUCUCAAUGUAUAAAAAUAUAACCAUAAUUCUUACUAAUAGUCAAGUAUUUCAUAUAUUUUACUUGCUUUCAUUGUUUUAUUCCUUUGAUUAUUUUAUUGAAGUAUAGUUGAUUUACAAUGUUGUCUUAAUUUUGCUGAACAGCAAAGUGAUUCAACUUUAUAUAUUAUUUUCCAUUAUACAGUUACAAGAUUUUUAAUAUCAUUCCUUGUGCUAUACAGUAGAAACUUGUUAUUGCUCCUUGGAUUUUUUUUUUUAAUUAUAGUUGAGGGAGUUCUCAUUGUGUCUCAGUAGUUAACAAACCCACUUGGAUCCAUGAGGAUGCAGGUUCAAUCCCUGGCCUUGCUCAGUGGUUAAAGGAUCCAGUGUUGCUGUGAGCUGUGGUGCAGGUUACAGAUGCUGCUCAGAUACCACAUUGCUGUGGCAUAGGCCGGCAGCUGUAGCUCUGAUUCGACCCCUAGCCUGGGAACUUCUAUAUGCAACAGGUGCAUGGAACCCUAAAAAA
rnacentral:lncRNA from 1 species